rnacentral:rRNA from 1 species
AUUGAACGCUGGCGGCAGGCCUAACACAUGCAAGUCGAGCGAGCGGCGGACGGGUGAGUAAUGUAUGGGGAUCUGCCUGAUGGCGGGGGAUAACUACUGGAAACGGUAGCUAAUACCGCAUACCAUCAGAUGAACCCAGAUGGGAUUAGCUUGUAGGUGGGGUAACGGCUCACCUAGGCGACGAUCCCUAGCUGGUCUGAGAGGAUGAUCAGCCACACUGGAACUGAGACACGGCCCAGACUCCUACGGGAGGCAGCAGUGGGGAAUAUUGCGCAAUGGGCGCAACCCUGACGCAGCCAUGCCGCGUGUAUGAAGAAGGCCUUCGGGUUGUAAAGUUCUUUCGGUAGCGAGGCGUUACCCGCAGAAGAAGCACCGGCUAACUCCGUGCCAGCAGCCGCGGUAAUAC